UCGCACUAGUCGGGGAGAUAGCGGUGCCCUGUACCUGCAAUCCGCUACAGCAGGGAUGAAUUCCCACACCCGGUUGAGUUUGAAUAUUGUCUGACCCGUGCAAGGGGUGUUGAGAAGUUGGUCUUGCGCAACGGGAUCCCGUGAACCAGGUCAGGUGGGGAACCAAGCAGCCUUAAGCGGAUCUUCCCGUGUGCCGCGAGGUUGCCGAUUUUGAGCUUUCGCGCUUGGGUUACGGAUAUUCUGCUCGAACAAAUGUGGGUGUGCGA
rnacentral:SRP_RNA from 1 species